AAGCAGCUUACCUACUCUUGAAACCCGGAUAGCAAAGCAUUGAGAUUGUUCUGGAAGCAUUUGUAGUCACAGCUCAUUAAGCAUCCCCCUGAAGCAGGACCCUCAGUCUACGGACGCCAAUUGACGAAAUAAAACUUGUCAUUCAGCAACACAGCCAGUUGCAGCAGUUGUUACCAUAUUGACCCCAGUCAAAACUAGGAGCUCAGAGAUAACACAGCCAGUUGCAGCAGUUGUUACCGUAUGGACCCCAGUCAAAACAAGGAGCUCAGAGAUAAAUACUGUUUAAGAAAGAUAUUCUCUACAUUCCUCAUGGUCAGCCAACACAGCCAGUUGCAGCAGUUGUUACCAUAUUGACCCCAGUCAAAACUAGGAGCUCAGAGACAAUCAGCAACACAGCCAGUUGCAGCAGUUGUUACCGUAUGACCCCAGUCAAAACUAGGAGCUCAGAGAUAAAUACUGUUUAAGAUAGAUAUUCUCUACAUUCCUCAUGGUCAGGCAACACAGCCAGUUGCAGCAGUUGUUACCAUCUUGACCCCAGUCAAAACUAAGAGCUCAGAGACAAUCAGCAACACAGCCAGUUGCAGCAGUUGUUACCAUAUUGACCCCAGUCAAAACUAGGAGCUCAGAGACAAUCAGCAACACAGCCAGUUGCAGCAGUUGUUACCGUAUUGACCCCAGUCAAAACUAAGAGCUCAGAGACAAUCAGCAACACAGCCAGUUGCAGCAGUUGUUAACAAAUUGACCCCAGUCAAAACUAGGAGCUCAGAGACAAUCAGCAACACAGCCAUUUGCAGCAGUUGUUACCAUAGUGACCCCAGUCAAAACUAGGAGCUCAGAGAUAAAUACUGUUUAAGAUAGAUAUUCUCUACAUUCCUCAUGGUCAGGCAACACAGCCAGUUGCAGCAGUUGUUACCGUAUUGACCCGAGUCAAAACUAGGAGCACAGAGACAAUCAGCAACACAGCCAGUUGCAGCAGUUGUUACCAAAUUGACCCCAGUCAAAACUAGGAGCUCAGAGACAAUCAGCAACACAGCCAGUUGCAGCAGUUGUUACCGUAUGACCCCAGUCAAAACUAGGAGCUCAGAGACAAUCAGCAACACAGCAAGUUGCAGCAGUUGUUACCGUAUGACCCCAGUCAAAACUAAGAGCUCAGAGACAAUCAGCAACACAGCAAGUUGCAGCAGUUGUUACCAUAUUGAACCCAGUCAAAACUAAGAGCUCAGAGACAAUCAGCAACACAGCCAGUUGCAGCAGUUGUUACCGUAUGACCCCAGUCAAAACUAAGAGCUCAGAGACAAUCAGCAACACAGCCAGUUGCAGCAGUUGUUACCAUAUUGACCCCAGUCAAAACUAGGAGCUCAGAGACAAUCAGCAACACAGCCAGUUGCAGCAGUUGUUACCAAAUUGACCCCAGUUACAACUAGGAGCUCAGAGACAAUCAGCAACACAGCCAG